CAAAUCCUAAACUCUUCUUCUUAUUUCUGCAACUAGGCCCGCCGUCACUCCACACAUUCUUCGCCCUCUCGACAACUUAGGAAUUUGGAUGAGGGAAAUCUGAUGUUGGCAUGAGAAUGAGAUGAUGAUCAUGAUUUUAUUUCCCUAUUGGUUUGAUCGCCUAUAUGAUGGCAUUUGUAUUAGCUCUAUCUGAUCAUUCUCUUUAAAUCCAACCAUCUUGUUUGUUUAUCUUUACAUUGUUCUGUUUAUUCUUAAAUGCUCUGUCUUUUAGAAUAUUAUGCAAUAUUUCUGGCUUUUGCAUCAUGGACGGAUCAUGGAUUAGGGUGCGAAAGUAUGUUUGGGGCCUUAUAAUUUUAAAUUAUUUUAAAAUUUUCAGUAUAA